rnacentral:sRNA from 2 species
CUCAUAGAUUGUGCCCUGUUUACAUCUGUGUGCUGUCCUGUGGCUUGCUACACCUUUUUGCAGCAUGAAUUACUUCCUACGAACUGGUCUGCCACAUCUGCAAUCUCUUUGUGACGCUUUAUUGUACCAGUUAGUUAUUAGACGACUGCUGAAUGUUGAAGAAGUUUUGGAUUAUGCUAGCAUGACCUCUGCAGUUAGUUAUUGUAAACAGUAGAAUCUUUGAUGCGAAUUUGUUCUGUAUAUUGCCAUAUUUAAAUAGCAAAAACACCAAGCUACUCUGCCGGAGUGUGCCCAGCACACACUUCACUGCUACCACUGUAUGGGGCUGCUGUAAAUUAUCAUCGAAGAUGGUUUUUUCGUCUUCGGUAUCGAAAGCAAUUCUAAAAUACAUCUUUUCAGGUUUUAAUAUCAAUUUAAUAUUAAUGAAUGGAGGG